rnacentral:rRNA from 1 species
CAGCCGCCACGGGAAUACGGAGGGAGCUAGCGUUGUUCGGAAUUACUGGGCGUAAAGCGCGCGUAGGCGGUUACUCAAGUCAGAGGUGAAAGCCCGGGGCUCAACCCCGGAACUGCCUCUGAAACUAGGUGACUAGAAUCUUGGAGAGGUCAGUGGAAUUCCGAGUGUAGAGGUGAAAUUCGUAGAUAUUCGGAAGAACACCAGUGGCGAAGGCGACUGACUGGACAAGUAUUGACGCUGAGGUGCGAAAGCGUGGGGAGCAAACAGGAUUAGAUACCCGCGUAGUCCCUGUCUCUUAUAC